GACGAACGCUGGCGGCGUGCUUAACACAUGCCAGUCGAACGGAAAGGCCCUGCUUUUGUGGGGUGCUCGAGUGGCGAACGGGUGAGUAACACGUGAGUAACCUGCCCUUGACUUUGGGAUAACUUCAGGAAACUGGGGCUAAUACCGGAUAGGAGCUCCUGCUGCAUGGUGGGGGUUGGAAAGUUUCGGCGGUUGGGGAUGGACUCACGGCUUAUCAGCUUGUUGGUGGGGUAGUGGCUUACCAAGGCUUUGACGGGUAGCCGGCCUGAGAGGGUGACCGGCCACAUUGGGACUGAGAUACGGCCCAGACUCCUACGGGAGGCAGCAGUGGGGGAUAUUGCACAAUGGGCGGAAGCCUGAUGCAGCAACGCCGCGUGCGGGAUGACGGCCUUCGGGUUGUAAACCGCUUUCGCCUGUGACGAAGCGUGAGUGACGGUAAUGGGUAAAGAAGCACCGGCUAACUACGUG
rnacentral:rRNA from 1 species